rnacentral:rRNA from 1 species
GGUGAGGGAUGAAAGCUGGGGGAGCAAACCGGAUUAGAUACCCGGGUAGUCCCAGCUGUAAACGAUGCAAACUCGGUGAUGCAUUGGCUUAUGGCCAAUGCAGUGCCGCAGGGAAGCCGUUAAGCUUGCCGCCUGGGAAGUACGGACGCAAGUCUGAAACUUAAAGGAAUUGGCGGGGGAGCACCACAAGGGGUGAAGCCUGCGGUUCAAUUGGAUUCAACGCCGG